AAUAUUUAAUAUUUAUUUAUUAUUUUUGUAUUUGUCUUGUUUUACAAUAAAAAAAAUAUAUUUAAAUAGAUUAUUUAAAUUAUUUUUUUAUCAUAUUCAAUUUCAUUAGAAUUAAAAUAUAACUAUCUAUUUAAGAAAGAUAUAGUUAUAUUUUUUAGUGAAAUUUUUUCCGAUUAGAUAAAAAUUUUUCUAGAAUACUUAGAUAUAUUUACAACUAAUAACAGAUCAUGUGGCACAAUCUUGAACCGCAGGAACAAGCAGAACAGGGUAGGGCACGAGGAGAGGAUUUACCGAGAGAAAGAGAGAGAGAGAGAAAAGAAAGGAGGAAGAGAGAAAGAGAAAGAGAGAGAGAGAGAGAGAAAUAGAGUAGAGACCGUUGUCAAUAGCCAUACUUGACUCAUAGAAACGGGUUCCGCUCGCAUUCCGUGUGUCCAGCCCUCCGUUGGUCACACUGACUUCGUUCAACCUUAGAACAUUUUCUUUUUCUUUUAUAGGGAUUUCUGUAAAUGUAGUAUACGUGUGCACAUGCGCUACCGCGACAAAGAUCACACGAUUCUACACAUUUAUUUAAUAAUGGAGAAGAAAUAUAAUAUCUGCAUAGUAUGUGUACUUUAUAAAACAGAGAAACAUAUUACAAUGCGAAUUUACAAUAAAAUUUUACAUUAAUGGAAUCGAUUUCAAAUAAUUUUUAAAAAAACUGUAAUUUUGAUUUGAUGUUAUAUUUUAAUAAUUAUUUUUGUUGUUUCUUUUUUAAUUUUAUCAAUUUUUAUAUAUAAUUGAAAUAAAACAAUUUGAAAAACUCAAAACAAAAGAUUCCAAAAUUUUAAAAGAUAAAAAAAUUUUAAAAGUUAUUAGAUAACAAUAUUCGAAUUUUAAUUUUAAUAACCAGACUAUGUCGAUCCAGGAAGAGAGCGAAUCAGAUGAACGCCCAUUGUUGAUCAUUUGCCAAAUUCAGCUAUAACAUAGCGAAAAAGGAAACUUGUUUCUUAAAAACUUUUGUGUGAUCAUCCCAAUAAAUUUUGAUCAAAAUAUGGGCAUAUAGAAGAAACAAAAAAAUUCGUAAAUUCAAAAAGAAACGACAAUUCCCGUACAAUUUACUGAUCGACUUUCAAUAGUUCAACCUCUCGCGUAUUCAGACCGGCUUCUCUUUAACUAACAGCAAUAUAUGUUAAAUCGAUGUAUAAAGUGAGAGGUUUCGUAAGAGAAUCGACGUGUCCUCCACCAGAAUAAUGAAGAGAGUAGCCGACCAACGUAUCCAGCCAUGAAACGAAUCGGUAGAAGAUGAAGAUUGGAGAUUACAUUCUUUCGAUUUACUUCUCGAAACGGUACAGGCCAUGAAUAUAUGUAUAUAUACAUGUGUAUUUUAUAUAUAUAUAUUACGUAUAUAACGAGGUAAACGAUUGCGCGCGCCACGUUUGCAGAGAAUUAGAUAGGUUGGCAGAAUCUGGAAUUCUAAGCGCGUGCACAUAACCUAUAUUUUUCCUAAUUCAUAUGAUAUUACAUCUGUGAUUGUGUUAUUUUUACACUUGAAUGAAGAUCUUGAAUGGGAAUGUUAUUGUGGUUUUGAUUUUAAUUAUAUGCUAAUUCAAAGACUUCAACAGAUUACAUGAAAUCAUACAAAAUUUGAAAUCGUUAAUAUUGAUGUGUGUACAUGAAAGAUCGAUCGUUUAAUACAUUGAAGAUUUAUUGAAAACUAAAAUUACUGUAUUUCAUGAAUCAAUCACAGAAUAACGAGAAACAAUGUGUCAUUGUUAUUUCUGUCGUUUGGCAUUUUAAGAGAAGAAUUUAAGCUCGAUGAAGAAUUCGUCGGAAAACAAUGGCGGCGGCAUUCAAGCCACAUGUGUUCAGACCACGUGAUUUACACCGGUCUCCGGGCCACGCAUCCACCGGCUGGAAUUAAAUUACUUUCUACGGGGCGUUCGCCUUUCAUGAAAUCGACGCGAUCCCUUAACAGCGGCAAACUUAUUAUCAACGAUACACACCGGACGUCCGUUUCAUUAAACCGUGCCUAAGAACUUGACGUGGGUAAAACGCGGGCUUAUUUCAGAUCGUCUGGGCAAUAAUUAAGCAUAAUUAAUGUCUCGAGUAAUUGGACAGGGAGAUGCUGACCAAAGCAGGUUCCCAAAAUUAGGAUAAAAGGUCUCCAUCUGGUUUGAAAUGAGGAAAUGUUCUUCUUUGAGAAUUUUGCAAAAUUAAUCGGUUGGUUAGUUGAGCGUGAUAAUAUUGAAGAAACGAUGUGAACACAGUUACGAAAUAUGGAAGUUUUUAAUCUUUUUUUCUUUUUUUAUAUAUAUAUAUAAUUAUGAUUACGAUUACGAAUUUUUGCCUAGAAAAUGAAUUUUUAUACAAAAAGAAAUAUAAAUUGAAACAAUAAAUUAAAAGAGGAAUGAAAUUUUUAAUGAAAAAUUUCAUUUUUAAAUUGGAAUAUUAUUAAUAAUUUCAACAAUAAAAAUAUAUAUGACUUAAAUGAUUUAAAUUAAUUUUAAUCAAUGAUUUACUUCAAAUCAUAAUAUAUAUGAUAUAUAAUCUCUCAUAUAUCGCUCUAUUCAAACAAAAAUAUAUACUAAGUCAUAAAAAUAACAAUGUAAAUAAAAAAAUUAUAACAAAGAUGAAGUUAAAGCAAUUCUGUUUUCUAUGUACAUAAUAUUAUAUAUACUCACUUUACACUACUUAUCACUAUUCUUUUAAUAACACUAAUAUAAUUAAAUUGUUUUGAACAACUUGUCUAUCGAUAACUACUAUCAUGAAAUGUAGAUGGAAAUAUAAAAAAAGAUGAAGAGAAACCAUGAAAAGUGAAUGCAUUGAAAACCACAAUGCAAAGCAGUAAAUUUGUUAAAUUGGAUAAAACUAGCUCGUAUAGGACUUCACCCGUCAUCAAAGAAACCUCGCAUGUUACGGUCGCGACGACUCUAUGGCAUCCCGGAGUGCCGAGAAGUGAAAAAAUCUCCGCAACGCAGGAAAUUUACACUUUGAAACCUGAGAUUCGAUCCGUGCGCUCGACUCUUUGACCAAUUCACAUUGGCGUAAUCUUUCUAAUCUACAAUUUUAAUUUUGAUUUGGAAAGGAGAAAAUAGAUUCAAAAAACACGGAAAGUUUGAUACCAAGUGACUUUGCAACCUUGUAACCUAUAACGUGGAGAUCACUAAACAUUGAAAAAGAGAGCCCUCUUGUGUUAACCAUUACAACUAAUCGUAGGCCUUCCUUGAUUCUUUCUAUUUUACGCAAUGUUACUGUUCUACUCAUAAGGUAUUCUGCACAACCAAGUAUUCACGGAACGAGGAAAAACGCGUUUUCCCUGAGCAGCCAGCUGGCUUUCAUUUGCCUGUAACGGGAAGUGAACGACGUAAUAGGAACUGGAGGAAUCCAGCAACGAUGAACUGCAAGGUCAAUGAUUUUCCGAGCAGACCGAUGAACUUGCCUUGCACAUAAGUACAUACGUGCACUACAGAAGGUACCAAUACUGGGAGAGCAAAUGAGAAAGAAAGAGAUAGAGAACGAGAGGAGGCAAGGUCGUUGCCUAGAUAACAGUUGCAAGGUACAGUUGACUUCAAUACCUGGAACUAAGCAACCAGAUAUAAUGAAAAAGGGAAAGAAAAAAUUGUUUGUCGUAUUAUCAUUAAUUAUGGUGUAAAUUAUUAUUUAUCGGUUAACUAGUUUUAAAAAUAAUGCUCUUUCUUUUGUAGAAUAGGUUAUGAAUUAAUUGGAAUUGAUUAGUUUAAAGGAAAUCUCAAUUGGACGAAGGAAAUUUUUUCAAGAUUAUGAUAAUUUAUCCAUUGUUUUACAUCAUUACACCAUUGUAUAUUAUAUGAAAUUAUGUGAACAAAUCACCAUUGUUGAUAUUAACAUUCCUUAGAUUAGUGAAAUUUGUUUUAUAUUUAUAAUUAUUUAUUCGAGACAAUGCACAUAUAUAUAUAUAUAUAUAUACACACAAAACAUAAUACAAAAUAUGCUAGAGUAUAUAUUCGACAAAUAUGAAUAAAAAAAAACAACUUUUAUUAGAGAUUCAUUUAUUAUAUGAUUAUGGGAUAAAUAAUCUUGAAAACAAGUAUAAUAUGUAUAAACAUAAGCAAAAACGGGAGAACGUGAGAAGAAUUACAUUGUUAAAAUGAUAUUGUUAUGUGAAAUUCAAUAGAAAAAUAUGCUCAAAAAUGAUUUCGAUGCAUUUUACCGCUGUAAGAACCAACAGGUAACAACGAUAUUUUUUCAUCUUUUAUUUUUUCAUUCUAUCACCUUCUAUUGCAUUUAUUGUUUUAUUAUUUUUUUCUUGUAUUUAUUAUUUUAUCUGUAUAUAAAUGUAAUUUUACAAUUAUACAUUACUGAAUAAUCUUGUGACUAUUCUGUUUGUUAUAAUAAUAUAUUACUAUCAAAAAUAUAUAAAUAUAUAAAAAAUAUAGAUAAUACAUAAAAGAGCUAAGUCAUUGAAUAUUUUAUUUAAUAAUGAUUAAGAUGCUUUUAAUAUUGUUGAUUUUAUUUGGAAACAUAUUAAAUUUAAGACAAAGAAGAAUAAUAGAGAUGAUUAAAACUAUAAAAAUUUUUCAAA